rnacentral:misc_RNA from 1 species
AAAGAAGGGAAGUUAAGAAGGAUCACGAGAGAGGAAAGCAAGAAGGGAGAAGAAAUUAAGAAAUCCCUAGGAUAUGUGAUGACUCUAAUGCCAAUUGUUGUGACCUGUCACAAAAAGGGUGUUUGAAAGAUAAAAAAGAGAAGGGAAUUAAGGGAUAAAUAGUAAGAAAAACAGUGAAGAGAUAAGAAAAAGAAGAGAGAGAAGAGAAGACAAAGAGAGAGAUAGACUUUGUAUUGAUUAAUCUUGAAUGCCUUAAUUACAAUUGAGUUCUCUUAUUUAUCAGUUAAGAGUAACAGCUACUGACCAGCUAACUAAACUGAUGUGACUAAUUAACAGCGGUAACUUCUUUUCCUUAGCUUCUUGAUUAACGACCAUAGGAAUAACAAUAUCUUAUUUCUCGACCUUGCAAAUGAGUAUGUGCCCACAUUAAAAUUUAGGCCAACUGGCAGAAUAAAUUCAAACCUUUACAUAUAUUACUCCUUUUAUCCAAAUCUUUUAAUUUUAGACAAUUU